GAGAAGCUGAAUAUUUGAUAGAACAACCCUGAUUUUUUAUUCAGUUUUUUUUUCACAUAACUACUCAGUGCUUUAAUAACCUCCUUCCACUUGAUCACAUUUCAGAGGUUUUCACAGGUCCUAAUUAUUUGCCAUAGCUAUAUAUUUUCCCCGAAGCAGCCUAGCAGGUAAAUCUGUUCCCGUGGGGCACUAAAAUAAAAUAUUUUCCUCUGCUGCAUCAUUAUUUUUUCUCAUUCUAUUUACUGUCUGCCUCUCCGGAGUCUGCCAAGUAACACAAACCCAAUUUUCUGCACAGUUCUCAAUCCGCUGUUAACAAAUGGUAAAGUAUUCUUGACACUGUGUGAGGGUUUACCUGUGUUAGUUUCUAAAAAGAGCAGAGACUCUCUAGUGGGCAGCUGUGAUGUCAUCUCAAGUCCCAUACGUAUGCUGAGCUGUAUCCAGCCCAGACUGAGGCGACCGAGAGGAAAAAUAAGCCAGGCUGGUGGGAGGAUGUGAUGCACAUACUGAAGAUGCUUAGAAGAACAGAGAAACUACACAUGGAGCAAAGCAGGGUUUCAUAAGUGGAUAUGCUUCAUCACAGACACAGGGAGAAAUACAUUUAUCACACUUAAGCAGUUUUUAAGCUUCUAAAGCCAAAUCAAAGAGCAGCAGUUCGGCACAGAAGCAAGAGACACCGGAUGAGUUGUUCUGUCGUUGGCUGCUGGACGACUCAGUGGACAGACUGCAGCCCACACCAAGCUCAUCCUUCUGUGAAACUCCCCUCAGAGCAUUUGCAGUAUGGACCAGUGUAAAUAUUUACAUGGCGUGUCUGGCAGCUUUGAGAAACGGAGAACACCUUGGGACUGACGGCUCCCGCCUGUGAACUUUUAACUCAUUGUAACCCUCGUGGAGCCCUGCAGGCAGGGCCGUGCAUGUGUUGUGUUUUUUUGUUUUCUGGAAACGCGAGACGGCUCGAUCAGUAGUCACACUCUUUUGUGGUUGGUUUUCUGCGCGCCUCAGUUUCCACACUAUUCUCCUGUUGAUUUCUGUCUGUGUGAGGCUUUUAGAGGAAAACAAAGAUAAACAUUUUUUCUGGGAAACUCACUCACAGAAAUUCCCACAGACUCUGUUCCAAUUCAGUUGUUUUGGACUGGGCUACUCCAUAAUUGUACUUCCAGACAGACCACAACGUUGGAAGAAUCACUAAAUCUGAUUUAUUUAUCUGAGUUAUUUAUGAUUUAUUUACUCCUGUAAUCAGUGUGUUUUGUAAAACUGAACUUGUGACUUUUAAAAAUCUCUUACUUAUUUUACCAGUUUUCGACAAUUCUUAUCCUGCUUUUCCCAGGCCAGUUCACAUCAGUUUCUUGCUAACUACCUGCACAAGCUAAUUUUGUUAGCCUAUGUUAUGAGGGAUGUGGCUAAAACAUGGUUAACUUUAUGAAAGACUAAGGGAACAUAUACUGACAAAUUGUUGUUCCAAAGUUACAUUUUUGGCUGUGAUAUACGAUAAUAAGACAAGCAAGCUUCAUGUAGUUAUGUAUCAAGUGUAUAUAAAGUUUCUUUCAAGGUUAGCUAAUGCUAGCUUCAACAUGAAUGCUAGCUACAUGUUGUGCUACAACUUCCAGAACCAGUAGUGUGGCUCUAUUUCUAUGACAAAGCUUGAAUUUGAAUACACAUUUAGAUAUCAAGCAGAACUAUUAAAAAAGGUUGAAGGUUAAGGUUAGCUUCGUUUACUAUUCCCUUUUACCCACCCUAAUACACACACAGUACUUAGCAUUAGUAUGUAGCAGCCAUUAGGAGCAUUAAUCUGCUAUUUAAGGCCCUGACAGAAGAGUUAACCCAUAUGUAUCUGUUUUUAUUGUUUUACUCAGUCUAAACCCAGCUGCUCAGCCUUUUCAGAUACUUUGAAGAAAAAGUACACAUCUACUGUUUUUAUCACCUUAAUCGAUUAUUGGUUGUUUCAGUGUUAAAAUACAGAAAUAACUGGUUUGGUCAUAUCUUAUCAAUCUGUGUCCUAUUUGAAAAACUACAUUUCCAUAAUCUGCUUGCUCUGUAUCGGUCUCAUCUGGCCUAAAUUUUGGUUUUUACUUAAGUCUCAACCCUUCAAACCCAUUGGUCUCAUCUUGGUGUUAAUCCGCUCUGAACUUGGUCAUGAGUUCGACAUCACCACUAAUAUCCAGAAUCAGGCUGUAGUAAAACUCCAUAGACAUCAGCUGUGGCUUUGUUUGACAGUGUGUAGCGGCGAUUAUGUCAAAAUAUACCAUUCUGCAAAACCUUACACAUGAAUGGAGGUCAAGGACUUAGAUGUCAGAAAAAAUCUCACUUAAGUUGCAGUGAUAUUUCUGUUCCUGCUUGUGUUUACCUUUAUGAGUAUCUACCCACAUGUUCAUAUCGAGGCUGUUCUGUUUGACAUGUUUUGCACCUGUUGAGUGUGUAAUGUUAACACUGGUCUGUGUACAGUAACUGUAUUGAGUGUGUAACGUUUAUUAAAGUGGGUCAGCAGUAGCAGUUAUGGGCUGUGCUAUGUGUUCCCAGCUGGUUGACAUGUGGACUGUAAGAGGGAGCAGGACUGGUCGCAGGGCCGUGGAGCUCACUGCCUACCCUCAGGUGCUCCAGGGAGGUUAUCACAGGGUGUCCGGCCUUCACUACAUGUCCUCUUUUUCUGAUGCCGAAGACUGCUGCGACGACACCAGCUCAGGCAGUUCUCUCACCUUGGAUUGGCAAACACAGGGGACUGACGGCUGACACUGAUCUGGGCGGACCAUAGACCCCAGACUCGUUCAUAUCGACAUGUGGAUAAAUGUUCCUGUUGUCCAAUGAC